rnacentral:lncRNA from 1 species
ACUUGGAUUUGCCUGCUCCUUCUGCCUCCUAUUGUCAUGCUUCUGAGGUAAAUAGCAUCUCUGGAGUCCAGCCAGGACCUUGGAUUUUGCUCAUGCUAGAAAUGCCCAGGGUGGUGCUUGGUCCACAGAAGGUGGAUUUGUUCAAGCUGUACUUCUGAAGACACAUGUGGGAUAAUUAACAAGGCAUCUGCAGCAGAGAGUGGAUUUGUCAAGAAAUAACAUAAAUAAACAACAAUUACUGAAGUGACUCUACUCUGGCAGAGAGGCAUUUCUGGGCAAGUUUGAGGAGCAUGGAAUUAACAGUCAUCAAUGCAUUGCUGGAUUUGAAAAUGAUUUAUAUCAAUCAGCAGAGGACCUCCACUGGUGAUGUCAGCAGGAUCUGAGGAUGUU